ensembl:lincRNA
GCCCCCGGGGCCGCCCAGGGGAAGGGCACGCCAGGCCCUUCACGGGCGGCCGCGGAGGGCUCAGGUAAGGCAGCCCCAGCGCGCCUGGGCCCCGCAGCAGCCCCUGCACCCACAGGCUUGGAGGGCGCGUGGAAAGCAGCUCCCUCCCCAAGAGGAGAGGCGUUUCCAAACGCGCGGGAGUCCACUGGACUCCGCCUGCUUCGCGCCCUGGAAGCGCCUUCACGCGCCAAGCGCACGCGCGCGCACGCGGCAAAGAGCCGAGUUUCCUCAAAGACCCGCGCAAAGGCCAAAACUCAGGCCACGGGAUUUGCCCUUGGGGUGGAUAAAUCACAACCCCCGGUGAAGAACAUGUACCAAUGUAGCAAUGGGCGUGAUUCAAGUUAGGGCCGCAUUUUCCUUUCCAUGAUCGCCAGAGAGAGACAGCUGCUCGUGGACACCGAAUUUAACACCUGAGCACCCACCUGUGCCAGGCACGGUGGUAAAGGGUGGGUGAGGGUACAGGGGUCACUUUCAACGCAGCUAGACAAAGCCGCCCCUCAGCCUUGACACGGGGAGGGGACCACGACCCGGAACCCUGAUUCAAGGAUCGCAGGAAAACUCAGACUCACCUCUUAUCUGGUGGGCCAGUGGCGCUUGAGUAGUGGGUGGGGUAUGAAAAUGCCAGUGUGAGAAAGAGAAAUAGAAUCCACAAAGACCUCCCUGGAAAAGUACAGGACGUGUUUGGGAAACUGCAAGAAAAACAAUCUGAGUUAGCUUCCCGUAAAGGGGCAGUGGGAAGGACAGUGGCUGGAAGGCGGGGGGCGGAGCGGGCAGUGGGAGGCACUGCUGCUGCGACCCGGGCUGGCUCUGAACGGGGCAGCUUGGGCCUGGAGGGGCGUGCCCGGCGGGCCCUGGCUGGGGCGAGCGGGCCCUGGAGGGUCUGGGAGAUGGUCAGCCGGCCACGGGCACGGAGCUCCCUGCCGCGGUGGGCAGAGCGGGCUGGCCAGGCGAGGCCUCCCAGCCUCAGGGCUCCGGCACUGGGCAGUGGGUUAGGUGUUGGGGGCAGGGGGGAUGGAGGCUGCAGCAAGAGGGUGAAGGGACCCGAGGUGGCCCCGGGAUCUGAAGUCCAUCGGCUCAGGGCCGUACGCCGGGGCGCAAGGUGGCUGCCUGGGGACCCCUUCUCUUGCAGGCUGCUGCCCGCGCUGGCUCGUGGAACCCACACGAAGCCUCGCACUUGGAGGUCGCUCGCCUCUCCAGUUCACGUUCAGCCUGUCAGUUACACUCGACUGUCCCUCGCCGUCCUUUCACUCUCGCCCCAAGCACAGCCAGCCUCCCUCCACGGCAGCACGAAGCCACCACGAACGCGUGGCAGCUCCCACGUGGGUGAUCCGCACGCACAGCCACGGCCUGGCGGUGAGCAGUGGCAGUGGAAGAAAACUGCUUGGUGGGAGGGAAGGAAGCCAGGGCUGGAAUGCGUGACUUGUUUAUGAUGGAAAAUUUCUCCAGGGCGUCAGGCAGGGGAGGGGAGGGAAGUGAGAGGUCAGGUUGUCCGGCUGAGCUGUCCCCAUGUCCUGGCAUGGAGGAGGGGAGGACAGAGCCAGCCCAGAGAGCGCAGCUGGCGCCCCUCCUCAGCCUGUCCAGCCCCCGUUCCUGCUCGGCUCAGACCUGCUCUGUGCCCCCCACCCCCCACGCAGGGAGCCAGGGAAGGUUGGGGUGACUCUUUCAGCCAAGGGAGGUGCAGGAGAACAAGGCGAGGCCAGAGUGCGCCAGCGGCUGAGGCCAGGGCUGCACCGGCUCCCACCGCCCUGAGCCUGGAGGAACCGGCCCUGCCCCCUGUGCGCUCCAGCCCUGCGGCUCCCCGUCUCCUUCCUGCCUACCGGGGGAGCAGGGGCAACAGGACACGGGAACGUAGCCAUCAGGCCAGCUUGUCCUCCCGCUGGCCUCUCCUCUUGACCCCAGCCCCCCACCCCCUGUCCCUUGUUUGUUUUCCUCGUGGUUCUGACCACAACGGGGAUGGUUUCUGUGUUUGCCUUUUGUUGUUUAUCUCCGAGUAGACGAUGGCGCUUGCCUCUCUGCCCCUGGGCCUGUCGCCGCUCCUCGGCCCCAGCAGGGCCUUGAUAAACACUCGUGAAUAAGCACACGGCUUGGAAUCCGUCUGCUCUGCGGAGCUAACGCUCACCCCCAGAGGUGUCUGUUUAGAUAGCGAUGUCCCUUCUCAAAGAGGACGCUGGGGUGCUCGCCUCUGGCACGGGGCCGAGCAGCGGCCGGUGGGGCAGCCCUGGCCGGGCCGUCGGGGGUCCGGCCCGUAAGAGUUCACUUAGGGCUCCGCCGCCCACCCUCCUGGAACCGCGAGUCUAGAACGGAGGACAAAGGUAGUGAGGGGGGGAGGGAGAGUGAGCAGGGAGGCAAACGUGCUUGGAACGGGUGUGCAGAAGGGGAAGCCGAGCUGGGGGCAGGGGGGGCCUGCCGGGUCCCCGCUCAGGGAUGACCGCGGGCGCUGCUGGCUGCACCUGCCUCCAGCCGACGCCCAGAGAUAACCGACAGCAGCCACGCGCUGACUUGGGAUGGGGCGGAAACCUCAUGCAUCACCGUCUAAGGGCGUUGGGGGACCUGGGUUGCGGACCCAGUGCUGCCCCUUGGCCACUGAGCCAGCGUGGGCCGGUCACUUUCCGUCUCUGAAAACCCCAGUGAAGAAUGGGCACGUCGGUCGAGAGAACCCAAGCCGCUGCUCCAGGCUCACGGUGGGCCGCCCUGACCCGGAGUCCUUCCAGUAAGAUCAGGGGACCGCGCGGCGCGGAGUCCAGCCGCCAACCGCGGGCAGGGCCGAGGAGAGAAGGGCUGGGCGCCCCGAUCGCCUCCCUGGCCCGGGCGUCCGGCCUUUCCUUUUGCCCGGCGAAGCAGACUCCCACCUCCUCCUCCUCGUUCGCCCAGAGGUGGGGCUGACCCUCGUGGCAUUUCAGCAGGAACAAG